rfam:Sorghum bicolor cultivar BTx623 chromosome 1, whole genome shotgun sequence.
GCACAUGUGUGCACAUCAAUCCAUGUGUGUUGAAGUGGGUUGGGGUGGAGUUUAAACUAAAUUCCACCCCAACCCACUUCAACACACAUGGAUUGAGGUGGAAACAUGU